UCGAGAAUUUUUCUCAAUGGGCGCAAGCCUGAAGGAGCGACGCCGCGUGUGGGAUGAAGGGUUUCGAUCCGUAAACCACUGUCAUUUGUGAAAAAUGGUUGCUAUUUAAAAGAUGGUAACUUGAUAGUAAUGAAAGAGGAAGGGACGGCUAACUCUGUGCCAGCAGCAGCGGUAAUACAGAGGUCCCAAGCGUUGUUCGGAUUCACUGGGCGUAAAGGGUGCGUAGGUGGCAUGGUAAGUUUGAUGUGAAAGCUCAGGGCUCAACCCUGAAAUGGCAUUGAAUACUACUGUGCUGGAGGUUUGGAGGGGGGACUGGAAUUCUUGGUGUAGCAGUGAAAUGCGUAGAUAUCAAGAGGAACACCAGUGGCGAAGGCGAGUCCCUGGACAACACCUGACACUGAGGCACGAAAGCUAGGGGAGCAAA
rnacentral:rRNA from 1 species